UCAUUUCCUUUCCUUCUUCUCUCUCUUUCUCUCUUUCUUUUUCUUUCUCUUCAGUAUCGAGAUCGUUGGCUGGUUGAUCGAGAAGGAAAUGGCGAAUAUGGAAGAGGUAAUCGGUGAUACAGACAAUUUCUUUCUUUUUUUUCAUUUUAACUUCGAUUUGCAUUAGAGGGCGUAAAAAUACAUCAAAACAUUCUCCAAUUUCCUGAACUUUUUUUAAAUAAUUGGGAAAUCGUUUCGAAAUCUCUCCAAAAAAAUUGCUUCGAAAAGA
rnacentral:ribozyme from 13 species